CAAUGCAUGCUCUAGUAAAAGUUCUUCCGAACUUUGAGACACUUGAGUUCAACGUUAAACUUGCAAAACACAAGGAACUCAUCCCGUCGCACAUUGAGGGAAAACCUCCUUUUGUUUUCACAGCUGUAUCCCUUCCAUAUCUGCGUUCCGAGUUUGGAAAUAUAUUUGACGUUCCAACCAAACUGUUGGACAAGCAUUUACAUGCAAUGGCACAGUCUAUUGACGAACAGCUCGUUGUUGUUUCUCAGGUUUAUAUCUCGCAUUCUAUCUUUCUCAUGCUUUUGGAUAUUAGUAUAGUUUCUUGUUACCCUGGUUUUAUGGUGACAUUGCUCAAAUUGUGCUAGGUACUUGUUGCUGACAUUAACAUCUGAUACACUUGUGUAAAUUAUUCUGCUUUAUGUGCAGGUUCUUACUUUCAAUGGUAUGCCUGUGAAGAAUCUGAAGAACUUGGCCAGCAUGGUUGAGAAUUGUGAUGACGAGUACCUUAAGUUCGGCCUCGAAUACAAUCAGAUGGUUGUUCUGCAAACAAAAACUGCCAAGGCAGCGACGCUCCUCACGACACAUUGCAUAUCAUCGUCCAUGUCUGAUGAUCUUAAGACUAAAGAGAAUACUUUAGAGGAAGUACAUUCUAUGGCCAAUGACCUUAGAGAUACAAUCUUAGAGAAAGUAGAGGACUCCCGCUUCAUUAUUUUGUGAUAAUCAAGCAGCUUUGUACAUGGCAGCAAAUCCUGUUUUUCACGAUCGUACCAAGCAUAUUGAGAUAGAUUGCCAUAUUGUUCGAGAAAAAUUACAAGCUGGUAUAAUUCGUUCUAUGUAUGUGCCUACACUCCUCCAGUUAGCUGAUAUUUUUACAAAGGCUUUAGGGAAGGAUCAAUUUGUGAAGUUGCGAGACAAGUUGGGCGUUCGUAAUCUUCACUCUCCAACUUGAGGGGGAGUAUUAAGAAUAUAUUGUAAUUAAUGUAUAAUAUUGUAUUUUUCUAAAGUAGGAAAGGCUAUUCCAUGUAUUGUGGAUCACGGCUUUAUAGGAUUAGAAUCGGGAUUUGACUUUUCUAUUUGUAUUUGUAUAUAUAUGGGCUACUUACCCUCUCUUCAAUACAUACGAAA